UAACUGUAGGAGGAUCUGGAUGGCUUCGUCGUACUUUCUGAUGGCCAGGGAGAAGUUGCCGUUCUUCAGGACCUGGUUGCCAGACUCUUUCAGCAGCUGGGCGUAAGCUGUGGGGUCCAUCCUGCGAGGAGACGGAGCAGAACUGCGAUACUGAUCCAAAAGUCUGAUAAGUGGAGACCUUUAUACAAAGAAAGGUAUGGCUGACUGCAGACCACGAUACAGUUGUUAAAACCAUGAAGCUGAUCCAAGUAAGAGGAAGCCAUGUCAAGAUGCACAACAAAUGUGGAUAAAGCAACCUGGAGACCAAUUUGUAGAGCAUCCCUUGGUCUGCC